AUUUUUUAAUCCUCCUAUUUUACUUGAUUUUCAUAAAUUUUUUAAUUGUUUUUUCUAUAAUAUUUUCUUCUUUCACGAUGAAAUACGAUGUUAUCAUAUAUAGAGUCCAUGCCCUUAACUUUUUUGUAAUGAAGUGCUAUUUCGAUAUGAUUUUGGUCAAUAAUCUUGGUUGUCAAAUGGCAGUAUUUGCAUUACACAUGAGGUAUGCUAAUUUUUAUCCUCCUAUUUUAAUCGAUUUUCAUUUAAAUUUUAAGUAUCCCUACUAUAAUACCAUCUUCUUUCACGAUGAGAUAUGAUGUUGUCAUAUAUCGACUGCGUGUCCUAAUUUUUUUUUGAGAUACUCUGUUAUCUUUUGCUUUUUGGGCUAUUUGCUUUUUUGGAACUUGGAUAUAUUUCUUUUUUUGAAAGAGUUACUUUUCUUUAUUUAUAAGACGAGUGCUAAAAGCAUUAAUUUUUUAUUUUUUUUUGGUAUAUUUUAUGGUGAAUUAGGGGAAGAAAGUAGAGAUUUGUAACUGUAGGUAUGGUCAAGGGAACACAGUCUCUUUGUCAGACGACACCGUAGGAAAAGGGAGGAAAAUAUUAAAAGGAAAAAGAGGAAACUAAUAAAGGAAG